AUGUGUUUAAGUAAAUGGGCUAUCAAGAAGAGUAAACAUGACUCAAGGGCUGUACUUCCUCUUCUGGGGAAGAUUAGUGCAUUUUCAGUUGUAC